GGCUUCUCUUUCAGCUAGAUGUAGCUCUGGUGACCACGUUCUGGCCAGUAAGCUGUCAGGGGUAGCGACGUGUGUGCAAUGCCCACUUGGGUCCCUCAAGCGAGGGACGUGCCCUUCCCCCACCCCUUCCUCCACGCUGCAGCUUAGAAUCGUCAGGAAUGGUGGGAAAAGAACGCAAGCCUUGGUUUUCACUCUAGCCCUGGACGACCUGCCUACAGCUGUAUAUCCCCUCACCUUCCCUUCCUUUCUUCUCUCCAACCCACUGGCCCCCUCCAAACAGCAGGCAGCAGGAGCAGGUGGCCAAGGGCCCAGACGGCUCUCUUGUUCCCCAGUCCCUGUGAACCCGGUCCUGUCCUGAGGGUCCUGACCAGCUGGGGCCCCAGGUCCGAACCCUGCACCAGUGGGUGACGGUGGAAGAAGAAGAGGGGGUAACAAGGGUGCUCUCUCCCCAAGGGCACCCCCAAACCACCAUGACCUCCGCCUCCCAGCCCUGCUUUCUGAGCUCCAGUUGCCAGCCUCCUGUCCCCACUCAGCCCUCGCAGGCAACAGAUGGUGCCUUGAAGACAAGCCCUGGGUCCGGGCCGGGCGCGGAUGUCAGCUGUGGCAGGGCUCCCCUUUCACCCUCCGGCAGGCGGCUGGGGCAGCCCCCGCUCUUCACCUG